ACUCGGCACUUGAGGCAUCCCUAUCUGGUUUGAAUGUUCUGAUUGAGACAUACUUUGCUGAUGUUCCCGUUGAGGCAUACAAAACACUAAUUUCUUUGAAGUGUGUUACUGGGUUUGGGUUUGACCUGGUUCGAGGAACAAAGACCCUAGAUUUGAUUAAGGGUGGAUUCCCUUCUGGAAAAUACCUCUUUGCUGGAGUGGUUGAUGGAAGGAAUAUUUGGGCUAACGAUCUUGCUUCUUCCCUCAGUGUACUACAUGCUCUUGAGGGCAUUGUGGGCAAAGGUAUUAAUGCUUUCGUACUGUGUUUUAUCAUUGCCAUUUUGUUGUUCUUGACAUGAAGUUGAAAAAUGAAUCUAUCUUAUGCUUCUACAGACAAGCUUGUAGUAUCUACUUCCUGCUCUCUUCUCCACACCGCUGUUGAUCUAGUUAACGAGCCUAAGUUGGACAAAGAGAUCAAGUCAUGGCUUGCGUUUGCAGCACAGAAAGUUGUUGAAGUAAAUGCCUUGGCCAAGGCACUUUCUGGACAGAAGGAUGGGGUACCUCAUUACUCAGUUUUCUCAUCUUACACAACGCAUUAUUUAAAACUUAAACACUGUCUGCAUUUUUUAUGUUUAUCUAUUGUGCUAAUCAGGUUCCUUUUAGACAUUUUUAAACCCAAUCUUCGUCUAAUGCAUUCUGUUUCAAAUGAAUUGAUUUAUGGCUGGAUGCAUUCAUACGUAUUGAGUUGUUUGUGGUCAAUAUUAGAAAACCAAGAAACCUUACUCUUAAAAGGUUCCUUAAUAGAACUAGUAAAAUCUAUACUAAUUUCCUUUUCUCCUACUUCUGUACAUCCAGGCAUUCUUUUCUGCAAAUGCAGCAGCUCAGGCUUCUAGAAAAUCCUCACCACGGGUCACCAACGAGGCUGUUCAACAGGCUGUAAGUGGUUUCUAGUUCAUCCUUAAUGCUGCUGUAUGGCUUAUGUUGGAUAGCUUGCUCUUACGUUGCAGUGUUGAUCCUUCUUGGCUUCUUGCUUAGGCUGCUGCUUUGAAGGGUUCAGACCACCGCCGUGCAACCAACGUUAGUGAUAGGCUGGAUGCUCAGCAGAAGAAGUUGAACCUUCCAAUUCUUCCAACCACCACCAUUGGAUCAUUUCCUCAGACCUUGGAACUUAGAAGAGUGCGCCGUGAAUACAAGGCUAAGAAGUGAGAACUACUGUUGUGAAAUUGCUCCUAUGAUUUAAUUUAUUAGUGCUUGUGUUUCAGCUUAGCUGGUGUUGAUUUCUUUUUCCUUUUGAUAAAAAUUAGGGUCUCAGAGGAAGAUUAUGUUGAGGCCAUCAAGAAGGAAAUUAACAAAGUCGUCAAACUCCAGGAAGAGCUUGAUAUUGAUGUUUUGGUGCAUGGUGAACCAGAAGUGAGCUCCCCCCAAAAUAAAAUAGCUUAGUUUUGAGUUGUGAUCCAUUUUCUUCCCUUUGAAAUUUUACUGAUUGUUAAUAUUUCCUCGCAAUGCAGAGGAAUGACAUGGUUGAGUACUUUGGUGAGCAAUUGUCUGGUUUUGCCUUCACUGCUAAUGGCUGGGUCCAAUCUUACGGUUCUCGCUGCGUCAAGCCUCCUAUCAUCUAUGGUGAUGUGAGCCGCCCCAAGGCCAUGACUGUGUUCUGGUCUUCGUUGGCUCAAAGUAUGACUAAGCGACCCAUGAAGGGAAUGCUUACUGGUCCUGUUACCAUUUUGAACUGGUCCUUUGUCAGAAAUGACCAGCCCAGGUAGGAAUAAAAAUAUAACUAAUAUAACCAUGCUUGGUUUGCAGGCUGUUAAUUUAAUAUAUUGACAAUACCUAUCUAUGUUUGUACUAGAUUUGAGACCUGUUAUCAAAUUGCUUUGGCCAUCAAGGAUGAGGUUGAGGAUCUUGAGAAAGCCGGAAUUACGGUCAUCCAGAUUGAUGAAGCUGCUUUGAGAGAGGGCUUGCCCCUAAGGAAGUCCGAGCAUGCUUUUUAUUUGAACUGGGCUGUUCACUCUUUCAGGAUCACUAAUUGUGGUGUUGAAGACUCUACCCAGGUUCUUUCCUCCUCCUCAGUGUGUGUGUGUGUGCGUGUUUGUUUUUUGAAAGAUACACAUUGGAUGUUGGGCUAAAUGGUGGGAGGUAAAUCCAUCCCCCACCCAUUCUAUAAUCUUUAACUUUAAAAUUCAAGUCGGAAGUACCAGGUGAGCAGUCCCCUGGGAAUACUCGGUGGUGCUAUAGGCACACCUAUUAGUUUGUUGGCACAACUUCAAAUGAAAUGUCAAAAGUAUCCAAUAAAUUUUAUGGAAAUUGAAUGGAGAGUAGGUACAUUUAUAAAGGAUAGUGACAGUUAACCUUAAAAAAAUGUAGUGCCAACAUCACCACCCCACCCCUAAAAUCCCAAGAUCAUGAUUUAGACUUAAAUGUUCGGUGGGCAUUAUACCACCACUGAAACUUGCAAAUUCAGGAAAAUUCUCCUACGGAGAUUUUGGUGCAUGUAGUGAACUGUAUAGCAUCCUAGAUUUUGGGGAGAGGGGUGGGUGGAAGGUGUGCUUUUGUAUGGCUGUACUGGCAUCUCUUUGCUGGAUUAAUAAUGCUAGUAGCACUUGUUGAUGAUGCUACAACAAUGUCUUGGACAGAUCCACACCCACAUGUGCUACUCUAACUUCAAUGACAUCAUUCACUCAAUCAUUGACAUGGAUGCUGAUGUGAUCACCAUCGAGAACUCCAGAUCAGACGAGAAGCUUCUCUCAGUCUUCCGCGAGGGUGUGAAAUAUGGAGCAGGCAUUGGCCCUGGUGUUUAUGAUAUUCACUCUCCUAGGAUCCCCUCAGAAGAAGAAAUUGCCGACCGUGUUGAGAAGAUGCUUGCUGUCCUUGAAUGCAACAUUCUCUGGGUCAACCCUGAUUGUGGUCUAAAGACCCGCAAGUAUGCUGAAGUCAAACCUGCCCUCAGCAACAUGGUUGCAGCUGCCAAGCGUCUCCGUACCAAGUUUGCAAGUUCCCAGUGAGUUCAGGAAGUGUCGACGAAUUCAGACUGAAAGUGACGAAGAAUUCAGACUGAAAGUCCAGUGAGUUCAGGAAGUGUUGACGAAUUCAGACAGAAAGGA
rnacentral:lncRNA from 1 species